rnacentral:misc_RNA from 1 species
GCAUAAAUAGUUCGUCCACCAUAACAAAUCCCACAAACCCAUUUGUUUACGAAAUCGUUUUAAAUAACGUUUGAUAUCACUGUCUACUGGGUUGCCACGGUAUGUAAAAUUGUAUAAAAUUCACGAAAAGCGUUAAUAAUUAGCCUUGAACCCUAAAUAAAGUCAAAUAUUUUGUAUUAAGGAAAUUGCGUUUUACUAUAUUAAUUCCCAAUGAAAAAGAAAGACACUAUUUUUGGCCUACUUUCAUGAGCCAUUGUCAAUAGAUAUUGAUCUCUUAAAUGAGUCAUUUGGUUAAAAUAACUUAUUAAUACAUUUUAGUGAUGACAAUUGCUCACUACAAUUUUGUAAUCUUAAAGAGAAAGAAUAAGCGAAAACUGAAGGUUUUAAAAGGCUAAGAAAAAUGACGGACUUUGAAACUUUUGAGAAAAUCCCCCAGCAAACAAUAACAGAGGAAAAAAUGAAUUUCGCCCAAGUCAUAUUUCAAAAUAUUCAAGAAAGUUACCAGACUGGAUUAAACUUUGAUUGUAAAUACUCGUUCAGUAGCGCAAUGCAGUACAAUUCAAGGGAUUGGGUUGGAUUGUAUAAAGUAAGUAUUUUUCGUUUCUAAAAGAUUUCCUUACAGAUUACGUAAUAUUUUUCCCUUAAUCAUAGUCAAGUGUUCUAGCAAUCUAUCAAUGGUUGAUUGAUUGUCAUAUCGUGUAGACUAUAUAUUAGAAUAAUUGACCUUGAGAAGGUUAUUAAAAAUAUUAAUAUAUUUCUGAUUGUUCUGUUCAUAAUGUUCCUGGCUGAAAAAGUGUUUAGCUAUUAAUAUUUUAUUUUAUAAAUAUUAAUUAUUCAUUGGGUAUUUUAGGUUGGAUGGAGUAGUGCUAAUGAAUAUAUUCACUAUGUUUGGGCAAAAGAACCAAAUGAAAAAUUGGAAGCUGAUGUAACCUUUCCCGGUAAUUAGAUUCACUAUCCACAAAAUUCAUUAAUUUAUUCUCUUGCUGUACAACAGCUACAUGCAUUCCAAAUGACGAUACUGAAAUUUAUCAAUUUUGCUAUAUCACGAGCACGGGUGGCAUGCGAGGAGCAUCCAUGCCAUUCCAGUUUCGAAGUUUUAUUCCUGAAGAACUAGUACAGGUUGAGGAUGACACGGGUUUAUUGAUUGUUAAGAAACGUACAAAUGUCCUCGAGGAGCAAUUAAGUAAAGUAAUGAAAGAAAAGGAAGUUAUAUAUAAUCAAUUAGAAGAGACUCGGCAGCAAAAUUUUCAAAAUGAGAAGAAAAUAAUUGAACUGGAAGGAGAGAUAACUCAUAUCGAAACAGAAUUAGAAUCACAGACAAAAUUAUUACGUGGUGAGAGAGAUGCUCUAGAGGAAAACCUGGAUAAAUGCCGUCAAAGCUUAAAAGAAAAAACAGUUGCCUUAGAUUUGGCACUAACAGUUGAAGAAGAAUUGAAAAAUCAAGUUGCUGUAUUAGAGAGAGAGCUUGGUAUGAUAUCAAAGAAAGAAAUAGAAAUGCUAAGACAAACUGAUAAAGUUCAAGGAGAGAAUAAAAAUCUUAAUGAAAAAAUUGAACUCUUAGACAGCGCAUUAGCUGAAAGAUCGCAAAAGGAAGAGUGCUACAUGAAAAGAUUUACGGAAAUGAAAACGAUGUUGGGUAAUCUUGAAGUUAAGCACUCGGCAUUGCAAAAAACGUACGAUGAUACUUUAAUACGUUUGAAGGGUGAAAUUGCUAUCUCUAAACAUUAUAAAGAUGAUAUAUCUACUUUAAGUGAACGCUUAACAAACUACGAAGAUAAGUUAUCAGCGGGUGAAGAGUCAAAAUCAAUUAUGAGAAAAGAACUAUCAUCGAUUAAAGAAUUCAACGCUAAGCUAAAUCAAAAGUUUGAACAUAGUACAUCUGAAAAUGCAAAUUUAAAAAUGAGGCUAUCAGAAUUGGAAACGCUGCUACAGGAUCAAUCGAAAGAGACAAAUAGAGCUGUUGAGGAAGAAAGAGAAAAGUAUCGUUCGAUAAAGAGUUUAUAUGAUAAACUUAAAACCGAAAGUAAAGAUAUGGUUGCCGACGGUUCUAGAAUGGCUUUACAAACAGCCUAUGAUGAAGUUCGCAGUAGAUUCAGCAAAUUUCAAAAAGAAAAUGUUGACUUGAAAAGGCUUUUGACUGAUAUCGAAAAUUUGAAUAAGGAUUACGAACAAAGAGAGGAACACUUGAUGAAAGAGAAUGAGGAUUUAAAGAGAAGAUUACAAAUGGCAGGCGAAGAAUAUCGAACAAAAUAUGUUGAAUGUAUGAAACUACAGAAGCAAUGCACUAAACUUGAAAGAAAAGCUGAUUUAACUGAUUCAAUGAUAAAAGGAAAUGUUGGAUCGAAUGACGUUACUUGUGAAGCUUACGUAUGUUCAUCGGAUAGCGUCUGUCAGACAAAUGAGGCUGAAGUACAUGAAAUUGAGCUACAUAAUAAAAUAAAAGAACUUUUGCAACAACAAGAACAUACUGACAGACAUCUUGAGAGAGUAAAAGUUCAAGCAGCAGAAAGUCAAUCAACAAUUGAAAAGUUAAACAAUGAAUUGGAAGAAAUGAAAAAAAUAUAUUUGAAAAAAUGUGCUGAAGUUGAUGAAUUACGUAAUAAGGUUAUCGACAAACAGCUUGAGGAAAAUAUUGAAAUGGUUGAAAAGAAAGAAAAAAGUUUUGCAGUGAGAAUACCCGUUACAGAAUAUCGUGGUGUUAGUGGUUUACCAGAACCCCUCGAACCAGUAAAAUUACAUACCGCAAAAACAGCAGCAGUCAAAGGAACAUUUUCACCACCAGAAUCAACCUGGGUAUAUCCUUGCAACAGCGGGCCCCCUUAUCCCGUUACAGGAAAUAUUAUACCUGAAUUGAACGAUCACGAUGAUGACAGAUUUCAAGAUGCUGUCGGAGAGCCUCAGCUUUUGUGUCCAGUUUGUAAUCAUACCUUUUUGUCUACAAGCGAUUUGAUAACACAUGUUGAGUCUCACAACCUAGAAAAAUAUUGUCCAGUUUGUUCAAAUUUAAUGGAUAACGUCAGCCAAAAAGAAUAUGAAAACCAUGUGAAUGAGUGUAAAUAAACUGGAUUGUCCAAUUACUUCACAUUAGACUUUGUUUAUUAGCCGAUAAUUAUUAUAUGGUGAAUUGACGCUUCUUCCUAUACUUUCGUUGUAGCUUAAGAACACCUUCUACCCCAAGCUGACGACUUACACGUUAUAAUCGAUAUCUACAAAUUACCCUCUACGUCUGUUAAGCACCAGUAUAGAUUUAGUAAAGAAAUCUCUUUAAUGUUUUUAAGUGUCUGAUCUAAAUAAAUAUUACAA